UACGUAGGUGGCAAGCGUUGUCCGGAAUUACUGGGCGUAAAGAGCGCGUAGGCGGGUACUUAAGUCAGAGGUGAAAACUGUCGGCUCAACCGGCAGCCUGCCUUUGAAACUGGUUGGCUUGAGUGCAGAAGAGGAAAGUGGAAUUCCCAGUGUAGCGGUGAAAUGCGUAGAUAUUGGGAGGAACACCAGUGGCGAAGGCGACUCUCUGGCCUGUUACUGACGCUGAGGCGCGAAAGCGUGGGGAGCAAACAGG
rnacentral:rRNA from 1 species